GGAACAUAAUAUAAGUCAUUUUGGCUGUGGAAUCCAAAAAGCUUUUGUGCUUCAAAAAUGCAUUAUAUUAUUUUCCUUUUUAAGAUAUUCUUGAGCAUAUGGCUCAAUGAUAUAUGCUCUUAGGUUAUAAUUAGAGGUCAAGGUUCGAAACUGGAGUGGUGUUAUUCAUUUUAAAAAUGGAAAAAAAAAAAAACUUGAGAGAUGUUAUCCUUCAAGCAUUUCAGCUCUUAUUUUAAGCUCAGGCUGUACAGUGUGAUAGACUAAAUUUGCCACCUAGUAGCUAUAGAGUGGCUUCGACCUGCUUUAUUUUAGAGAGAGCAUGAUAGAAAG
rnacentral:lncRNA from 1 species